rnacentral:rRNA from 1 species
GACGAACGCUGGCGGCGUGCCUAAUACAUGCAAGUUGAGCGCUGAAGGUUGGUACUUGUACCAACUGGAUGAGCAGCGAACGGGUGAGUAACGCGUGGGGAAUCUGCCUUUGAGCGGGGGACAACAUUUGGAAACGAAUGCUAAUACCGCAUAAAAACUUUAAACACAAGUUUUAAGUUUGAAAGAUGCAAUUGCAUCACUCAAAGAUGAUCCCGCGUUGUAUUAGCUAGUUGGUGAGGUAAAGGCUCACCAAGGCGAUGAUACAUAGCCGACCUGAGAGGGUGAUCGGCCACAGUGGGACUGAGACAUGGCCCAAACUCCUACGGGAGGCAGCAGUAGGGAAUCUUCGGCAAUGGACGAAAGUCUGACCGAGCAACGCCGCGUGAGUGAAGAAGGUUUUCGGAUCGUAAAACUCUGUUGGUAGAGAAGAACGUUGGUGAGAGUGGAAAGCUCAUCAAGUGACGGUAACUACCCAGAAAGGGACGGCUAACUACGUG